rnacentral:rRNA from 1 species
UACGUAGGGGGCGAGCGUUGCCCGGAUUCACUGGGCGUAAAGCGCGUGUAGGCGGUCUGUUAAGUCGGGUGUGAAAUCUCCGGGCCCAACCCGGAAAUUGCAUCCGAUACUGGCAGACUUGAGGACGGUAGAGGUUGGUGGAAUAGCCGGUGUACCGGUGAAAUGGGCAGAUAUCGGCUAGAACACCAGUGGCGAAGGCGGCCAACUGGGCCGUUCCUGACGCGGAGACGCGAAAGCCAGGGGAGCGAACCGG